CCCCGUACGUGCCCUCUCGGUAUUGGUCGUCUCUCUCUUUCUCGAUGGUUUUUUUUUUUUUUGUCUCCGAGAAAUCUCGUAGUUGCUCUCCUUCUCCAAAUCCUUCCAUGAAAUCACCUUGAAGGUUCGAAUUCUUUGAGUUUUUGUAUUGGUUUAAAGCUUGUGAAUCUCGUUGGAAUUGAAAUUUGGUUUUGGUGAUGCGAUUUGAGAAUGAGAUUUGAGAUUAGCUUUGAUGAUGGGAACUAAAUCACAUCUCCGACAUGGCGAUCUUCAGGAAGUCCGUUGAAGGCUACUGUUUUGAUUAACUAUGACCCGACAGCACCUUCUCGUCUCUUAUCAACAAUGAGGGAGACAAUGAAGGAAACAAUGGCGGCUAGGUUCUGGUGCCUUUGCUUCAUGAGGAUGCCACACCUCCUUCAAUGCCUCCUUCCACCAAAUCAUUGCUAUGCGUGGUCUCGGUAUGUGGAUGAAUCAGAUAGAGAUCUGAUGAACGACUCUUUUUUCCAUCACUUAAGCAGAAAGAGGAGCAGCACUCAAGAGAGACUUGGCUGGUGAAACAAAAGCAACACGCCUCCGUUCUCCACUUUAGAGUACUUCUUGUACACAACACGUAGCCUGCUCUCUCCACACCUAGAGUGAUGUAAAGCUAGGAGCUUUGAGCAUUCCCUAUUAACACACAACAAAGAACAAAACUUAUCAGUUUUUGCAAUUAAGAAACAAGAACAGAAACAGAUAUUUGCAAGUCUUCUCUGUUCUUACAUAAUCUUAGACUCUGCAUAUCCUGUGUGAAACUUCAAGGUCUCCGUCCAAGCUGGUGACUUGUUCAGUGAGCAUCUCGCUGUGUAGACAGCUGAAGCAGCAAGCAUGGAGGGACAGAACUUCAAGGUAAUGUUCUUCUUUGCAUUAGUUGGCAAUAUGACUUAUGUAGGAAGGUAAAGAUCGAUUAUCUUUACUUGUUUUGUGUCUAAAGAUUCUCUAGUAGCUUUCUUGAAAUUUUUUAUGAAAUCCAAUAAUUUUAACUUCUAAAA